UACAGAGGUCCCAAGCGUUGUUCGGAUUCACUGGGCGUAAAGGGUGCGUAGGUGGCUUGGUAAGUUUGAUGUGAAAUCUCCGGGCUUAACCCGGAAAUGGCAUUGAAUACUAUUGAGCUGGAGGUUUGGAGGGGGGACUGGAAUUCUCGGUGUAGCAGUGAAAUGCGUAGAUAUCAGGAGGAACACCGGUGGCGAAGGCGGUUCUCUGGGCAUGUUCUGACGCUGAGGAGCGAAAGUGUGGGGAGCGAACAGG
rnacentral:rRNA from 1 species